CAGCAUUGCCGCGGUGAAUGUGUUCCUGAGCCUUGUACACACCGCCCGUCAAGCCACCAAAGCGGGGGGCAUCCGAAGUCGUCGGAGCCGAAAGGCAGGCGCCGAAGAUGAAACCCGUGAUGGGGACUAAGUCGUAACAAGGUAACCGUAGGGGAACCUGCGGUUGGAUCACCUCCUUU
rnacentral:ncRNA from 1 species